CUCCCUGCCGCUGUGCGCACUGCCGAGGAAACCCAAGCCAGUGACAGGGAUGCCGGCGUGGACCCCACACAGGUGGAGAGCUGAGAAGCAUGGUGCCCUUCCCAGAGACGGCCACGAGGAAAAUGCGAGGGGGCCCUUCUGGAAGCAGGUCGGGCCCAGGCCAGCAGAGGCCUCCGAAGAAGGCCCCCGAGGGACAGCGACCAGGAUUUACUUAGCAGGCACAGGACGACUCCUGCCAAGAACAUGGUGCACCUCCAGGAGACCCCGGGGCUCAGGCUGCAGCGUGACGGGCCGGGCGGUGCUCCUGGAGAGGGGACGGGCAGGGGCAGGCAGUGCACUCUGUGUUUGGUUCCAGGACAGAGUGUCACAGAGCCCAUCGUGUGGCACCCCAAGCCCAUGGGUGCUGGGAGCCGCUGGAGCUGGGUCUUGGUCUUCUGUGUGAGGGCAGAACCAAGCCAGGGUGCCUCAGCAAGCUACCUCAGCAUUGAAAAAAGCAUCCUGCCCGGACAAUUACAGUUGUUGGUGGCUAGGCAACAGUACCUCUCCGGACGCGUAUAAAGUAAACGCCCCUACUGUUAAAGGCAGCUCUUCCCAUCAGGUAAGAGGUAACUCCACCUGACCCCGGCUAUUCUC
rnacentral:lncRNA from 1 species